AGCUUACGGUUCUCAUAUCUUAUGUCCCAAAACCUGAGCCUAGAAAAUUAUGUUUUCUGUAUUUAGGUUCCUCCUUAGUUUCAGUUCAUAAAUAUGUCAUAUCAGUCCUCCUCCUCACUGUGAUUUCCAAUGAUAAUAUGAGUAGCGGGGAUCUGUUGUCUGGUUAGGUUUUUUUUUUUUUUCCUGUUUUUUAAUUGCAUGAAUUUGACAUGUAAAACUGUGUAAAUUUAAGGUGUAUCAGGUGUUACUUAUUGCAAUGGUUGCCACUGUAACAAUAUUUCUCCCAUUACAUACUUACAACACAACAAUUAUUGCUUAUAUUCAACAUACUGCAUGUACUAUGAGCCUUUUGUCUGUAGUCUACACCUGUGCACGUGAGGCAGGUAUUCUUAUUUUAUUUUAUUUUAUUUUAUUUUUUCAAUUUAUUUAUUUGAGAGAGAUAGCAGGAGCAGCGGGGGGCAGAGGGAGAAGGAGAGAGAAUCCUAAGCAGACUCCACACUGAGGUGAAGCAGGACAUGGGACUCGAUCCCGUGACCCUGAGAUCAUGACCUGAGCCGAAACCAAAAGUCACACACUUAACCGACUGAGCCAUCCAGGUGCCCCAUGGAGCAGGUUUUCUUAUUUCUGCCAUUUUACAGAGGAUGAAACUGAGGCAGAAAGAGAAAAUAAUACUCUGAGUCCCAUAGCUGGUGGGACAGGAUUCAAAGCCGUGCUCCCAACCAGCAUCUUACCUCGUUUCCACCUUCAACAGUACUUACUCUGUCCCUAAACAUACAGUCAUGUCAGUAUUAAUUUAGAGCCAGCCCCCAAUUCCCAGUCUUACUCUUGACCACGUGGUGUUGCUGCCUGAGGCCGGCAAUAAGAUGCAGAAGACAGGGCGGCUGGCCAACUUCUUCCAGUGCUUGUAAAAAUUAGUUCAUGUGCCUUCGUGUAAAGCAGGCUGCUUCUCUUAACACCAACGUGGUCUUACACAAAAUUUUUUAGACAUUUUCAUAAAGGUAGACUCCCUUGCUGAGAACCUCAGACA
rnacentral:lncRNA from 1 species